CCUCUCCCUUAAUUCUUCUUCUUUUAUUUUAUUUUUCUAAAAACACAAACAAACAACACAAGGGUGUUGGUGUUUUGAUUAAUAAACACAUACCUUCAUUUUCCUCUUUAAUCCAAUCUUUAAUUGAAGAAAUUUUUUAAAGACAAAUUGUUCUCCUCUACUAGGGGAUGGUUGUGAGCUAUUUUAUUGAGGUAAAAAUAAUUUUCUCCAAUCUUUUUCUCUAUAAAAUCGUAUAUAUANNNNNNNNNNNNNNNNNNNNNNNNNNNNNNNNNNNNNNNNNNNNNNNNNNNNNNNNNNNNNNNNNNNNNNNNNUAUAUAUAUAUAUAUAUAUAUAUAUAUGAUAAGGUAACAUGAAAGUAUUUUAGUUCUUUUGUAAAUUUUUGAUCUUGUAUUAUUAUUGUUGUAGUUAAAAAUAAAAUCAGCAAAACCUUUUAUUAUUCAUUUUCAAAACUGUGUAUAUAGUGAGGAAGAGGAUAAUUUCAUUUAUUUGGUUUUUCUUUGUUCUAUCUUGCGUUUAUGAUUCUACUUUGUUUUGCGUUAAAAAAAAUAUAAACAAAAGAAAGUUGUGUCUUAAUGCUAAGCAAAACAAGUCACAGUAACGUGGUCAAUGAUCAAAUAAGUUUUAAGAGAAAAGAAAUAAGAUUCGAGUUGUGUCGUUUUUUUUGUUUGGAAAAACUUACUUUCUAGAAGUUAAAGGUUUCAUUUUGAUAAGAUUGGUUUCAAAAGAAAAUUUAAGUUGAUUUGUUUACGAGUAAAUAGAAAGCAAAUUCGUAAGAUUGAAAGUUAUGUGAAGUGUAUAAUUCCUUAAGGAAUUUUUUUGAAAAUAUUUAUGUUGUGAUUAUAUGAUAGCAACUUAAGUCUCGAAAAGGAAUUGAGACCGUUGACAUCGAGUUAAGGGUGGGAAAAACUCCGAUAUAUUGAUGUUUGUUGGAUGUCUAAAUUUUAAGGAAAAAGUAAUGUAAAAAAAAGGUAAUGGCAAAUUUUUUGGAAUAAAUUUUGAAAUAAAGUGGUAAAUGAAUUGUGUGGUUUGUUUUAAUUUAAAAGUAUUUGAGUGGUAGAAAUUUUAUGAACUUUAAAAAGUUAGGAAAUAGUUCUCUUGUGAUUUUUAAUGGUGGUAUAAAUUAAAAUUUGGAGUCGUUUAGAAUUUGAAAUCAUAUGAGUGGUUGUCCUUAAUUAUUCAAGGUGUUUUAAACUAGAUUUGUAUAUGAAAAUUUUUGAAAGACUUUGAUAAGUACAAUGGAUUUUUAGUGAGUGGUAUAUAUAUAUAUAUAUAUAGAAAAAGAGUUCAAAAUUUUCUUUAAAGAUUGGUUUUAAAUUUACUUUGUUAUUAAGGUCUUGAAGGUUUUAUUGUUGGGGUUAUUGUGAAAAUAAGUUUUCCACCUUUAUAGAUUUAACUAAAAAGUUUUAGUUAUUCAUAUUAAAUUUUCAAUAUUUAUGAAAAAAUUUAACUUUAAGAAACAAAGUUUUCAAACUUGAUUUUGACCAUAGUUCAUAAUUAAAAAAAUAUGUAUAUAAGGGUUCCAAUUUUGUAUAUAAAAAAGGUUUGAAAGCUAAAUAUUCACUUUAUGAACAUAGUUUUGAUCUUAAGUUUUUAAGUUGAAAGUUUUGAUUUUUAUAGUAAAGAUGUCAACUUUAUACUAAAAUUCGAGGUUGAAGAAGUAUUUAGGUGUUUUGAAAAACAAUGAUUGAUUAUAAUUUUGGGUUUUUGAUAUUUGUUUUUAUUAGAAAUGAAGAUUUUAGUUGACGACUUAAAAGAAAAUUGUGAACUUGGAAAAUAUUGUGUUGAUGAGAAAAUGUGGUUUUUGUGUGAAAAUUUAUAUACAAAGAAUAAUUAAUAAAGAUUAAGAUUUGUUAAAAUGUCAAAUUAGAAGAAUCAUAAUUUUGAAUAGUUAGAAUAUUGAAACUUUUAGUAUUUCAGUUUUUUUGAUAAGAUUUUUUUGAUACAAACCUUCUACUAGUUUUUCAAAUAUUGUGUUUAAAUUUAUGAAGUUGAUGAAUGAUUUAAUCGAAAUUUUAAACCAUGUGAGUAUGUUUGUCUUUGUUUGAUUUUGGUAAGAAAAUAUUUUGUCAUAAGUUCUUAAAGGCAAAUAUUUGAGUUGAACCUCAAUAAGUUUGAAAAAUAAUUUCGAGAUUUUUAAAGUGUGGCAUAAGCGUUUUGAAAUUCGCUUUCGUCAAAGUACUUAAACCAAAGUCUUUUUGAAGUUAGGGAGCCUAAGAGAAAAGUCAAACCAUAAUUGAUUCGGACAGUGGCCGAACCUAGGGUUCAUUUGGGGGUUGGUUUAGAAACUGGUAUUGAUUAAGUAAUUGAUUGGUUUAAGGUAGAAGGAAAUUGAAAGUUGUCGUUGGAUUGGUUAUGCUGGCGUAGCGUGUAACACCCCAAAUUUUUUUAUGUAUAUUAUAUAUGUGUUUUUAGUAAUUGCUAUUAUUAAUUUAAUAAUUAUUUUAUCUGUAAAUAAAUUAAAUUAAGUUUUAUCACACUCUAUUCUACGUGAAUAAUUAUAAUCUUUAUUUUUAUUUGAUUGUUUUGGCAUGACAAGUACAUGAUGACGAUUUAUGAUGUCAGUAUUUCCUAAAUGGACUAUUGUGCAUUUUUUUUAUUUGAGUAGUUUCGAUAAUCAUGAAAUUGAUUUGUUUGAUAGGUUUGUUUUAUUUUGUUAUGUGUGAGUGGUAUUCUUGUCUUGCUUGAUUUAUUUUAGUUGAUAAAGUUUUAGUUGAAUUAUUUAAUUAAAUUAUAAUUUAUAAAAGCUAUAUUGUUUGUUAGUUUUAUUUACGACCAAAUAAGUAUUCAUUUUAGGAGAUAUUAUAGAGUUAGUGAAACCCAAUCUUUAUAUAUAAGUGUUUUGAAAAUAUUUUUGGUCCAUCCUAUAAAAACAAAAAUUAGUGACUUGACUCAUUCUUUUACUCUCCUUUAUGACAAGAUUUUAUGACAAUUCAUGGUGUUUUCUUGGCAUAAUGUGCAUUAAUUCAUUUUAAACACCUUUAAUUUAUUUUUAAAGGAAAAUUAUAAAUUUAAUUAUAAGUUUUUUUUGCAAUUAAGAGAGGACACAAAAAAACUAUUGUCCUUUUUGUAUCUCAUGCAUUCAUCUCUUUUAAACUAAAAUUAUAAUUUUAUUAUAAUUGUCUACAAAAAUAAUUCUAUGAAAUUUUUGGUUUCGUAACUAUUAGAUAAAAAAAUUAAAAGGGUGAUGUGAGAAUCUCUAAUUUGUUUAUUUAAUUAAAAUUAGUGUGUGACACCCUUCAAUAUAUGGUGAACUCUAUUAGUUAAUCCAAAUUAAGUCAUACAUAUAAAUACACAUGAUUUCAAUUGGCGUUGUAACAACCUAAUAAAAUUAAAGAAAUAGUAAUUAUUGGUAGUAUAAUGUUGGAAUUAAGUGCACUUCAAUUUUAGACAAGAAAUUAAUGGUAAUAGUGCAACGUAAAUAGCUUAUAUGUUCAUACAUUUCCAUUAGGCAUCUUGUUGUUACACCUAUUUGUCAUUCGUACACUCUCAAAAUAAUUUUCUGAGUCGUAAAUUCCAAUAUCUAUCGAUGUUGAAUUCAUUACUGCCUCAUGAGCUAUUUCUCGUGCAAAUUUAGAGGUGUUAAGAAAGAAAGCGCCUAAGGUAAGGGCUUUUCCCCAUGCAAUGUUAGGCUAGAUAUUAAAUUAAUAGUUUGUAAGAUAUUGAUAUA
rnacentral:lncRNA from 1 species